GCCAAAUCGCACAGAACAACCCCUCUGAGCCAGAGAAAAAAGCUGGAAUCCGUUUGCCCUGAUAUUUCACCAGCACCAGCCAGGAGCGAGGGGAGAGGGAAAGACAGAGGGAGAGAGAGGGAGAGAGAGGGGGAAAGAGACUGGGGCAGAGAAAAAGGGAUAGAUGGGAAAACGGCAGACCAGGGCUGUAUUUAUUGGGGGUGUGAGUGCCGCGCUGUAGGCUGUGGGAUGGUCGGUAGAGUGCAAGGUGUUGCUGUUAGGUGUGGUUGGGUUUACAGAAAGGGAAGAGCAUGCAUAGAUAGGCUGGUGGAGGAAAAAAAGGGAGAGAUGGAAGGAUUGGUCAUGCGCAAGUCCUAACUGGAUGUACAUAAAUCUCAGGAUGUGGAGCUUUGCUAAAAGAAGCUGCCUUCAGACUGAACUCCAUUCAAAAGCAAUAAACACAGACCGCAGGCCGUUGGAGGCAGCUUAGAAAUCUCUUACAUCUGGAAGAGCCAUAAUUCAUGGGAUUUGGCCUGACAGCCAUGACAGGCAUUGGGCGGCCAGCAACAACUGUCUCCUGUGUUAGUAGCAGUGUGUGUGUUAGCUUCUUGUGUGAGAGAGAAAGAGAAGGUGAGUGAGAGACAAAGAGUGACAAUAUGCAGAAUAUGUGUGUGUACGUGCAACUUUUUAUGUAUGCAGGGAAGUCGGUAAGAUUACACCAACUUGUAGGGGAACUUUUUAUUUGGGAAACAAAGUUUGGACACUAUGUUUAUGACAUAAAUCUACCUUAAAGAGGUGGGAAGUAGCCUAGUAGUUUUACUCAAGUAAUGCUUGAGCACAAACUCAAGUACUUCCUUUCCAUUCUACUUGAAAAAAUAUUGUAUUUAUUGCAUUUAUUUGAAGGCUGUAGUUACAUAUUUUUACAGUUAAGAUUACAAAAUACUAAAUAAAUUAAAAUUCUGCUUAUAAUUAAAUGCUUGUAAAUUAUAUCAGAUAUAUCAGAUUUUAUAUUAUCUAUACAUCCUUAAAGGCAGUGUUUCUCUGAAUAAUUACUUACGAUACAAAAAGUACAUGUUGCUUAUUAUGCUGUUAUAAUUAAGUAGAAUUUUCUUCAUCCAUUAGAAAAUUUUUAUGCAUUUAUUUUAAACUUUUAUUCAUGAGUUAUUUGCUUACCAAUUAGAGUAAAUCUAAGUUCUAGCAUAAACUGACAAAG